rnacentral:ncRNA from 1 species
UUAAAGUUUGAUUCUUGCUUGGAUUUUAACUUUAUAACUUAAUGUGUAUGUAAGUUUUUGUGGGAAAUAAUUAAAUAGUUAUUUAAAAUAAUUAUAUUUGUUACAGUCGCACUAUAUAGUAUUAAAAGAUAAAUGAAACUUUGAUUCAGAAGUAAUUAAUCAUUCCGAUUAAAAUCUGUGCCCGCACUCGCGGUUAGACUAAAGGGGUGUGUUACAUGUUUUAGGUUUUACUUAAUAUAGGUACUUAUCUAUUGUCUAUUAAAACAAUAGGUGAAAUUAGUAUACUCAGGGUAGAUAACAGUACCCCACCCUCCAAGCUCGGAAAGCUGAGAGAACAACUAGGAUUAGAUACCCUAUUAUACUUAGCUUUAAUAUUAUAAACUAAAUUAUUAAUAGUUAUGUUCUUGAAAUUUAGAGAAUUUGGCGGUAUUUUAGUCUAUUUAGAGGAACCUGUUUUUAUAAAACGAUAAACCACGAAUUAUCUUACUUGUUUUUAUGGUUUGUAUACCGUCAUUAUUAGAUAAUUUUUAUAGAAUAAAUUAUUAAAAUAAGUUAUGUUUAGUAUAUUAGAUCAAGGUGCAGCUUAUAAAUAAGUAAAAAUGGGUUACAAUGAAGUUUAUUUAUUAUGGAUUAAUUUUUGAAAUAGAGUUAUGAAGGUGGAUUUAAUUGUAAUAUAAAUUUAAUAAGUUUAUAUGAUAUUAGCUCUAAAUUAUGUACAUAUUGCCCGUCGCUUUCAUUAUUAAGAUGAGAUAAGUCGUAACAUAGUAGUUAUACUGGAAAGUGUAUCUAGUUGUAAA